UAAGUAAGCAAGGUAAUCGCUCUUCGCCGCAAGGCAGAAGGGAGGAAAGUCCGAACAUUCUCCCGUUUACGGGAAAAAGAGUAGCGGUUAACGGCCGCCGUCCGCAAGGAUAGAGGUGCGAGCAGAGACGCUUUUCUGUGAAAACAGAAGAGGAUCCAUUUGGGUCAGCUUUAAGGGAAACCUUGAAGGUGAAACGGCUAAAUCCUUACUUGAAUGCAAGAGCAAAUCUAUUUGCCGAAAGGCUUAUAGAGAAAAGUAGCUCGCUUGAUCUUGCCAAGCAAUUGGUAGGGCAGAUAAAUGAUUACCCAAGACAGAAUUCGGCUUAUUGCUUACUUAGGCU
rnacentral:RNase_P_RNA from 1 species